rnacentral:rRNA from 1 species
UACGGAAGGGGCAAGCGUUGUUCGGAAUCAUUGGGCGUAAAGAGCGUGUAGGCGGCUCGAUAAGUCUGCUGUGAAAGUCCAGGGCUCAACCCUGGGAUGCCGGUCGAUACUGGUGGACUAGAGUCCGGAAGAGGCGAGUGGAACUCCUGGUGUAGCGGUGGAAUGCGCAGAUAUCAGGAAGAACACCAACGGCGAAGGCAGCUCGCUGGGACGGUACUGACGCUGAGACGCGAAAGCGUGGGGAGCGAACAGG